CUUUUUCUUUCCAAUUUGCAAAUUGAACUUAUAUGAGAAAAUAUUCACUCUAUGAUUCUAUUACACAGAUCAGUGAAGGAUAAGUUUUCAACUGUUGGAUGUGUUUCUUCCAAAAUGAGCACUGUAUUGCUUUUGAGUUCGCUCAUCAAGCUAGAGGAAUCAUUUUUUUGUUUUUUACGCACCUGAAAUUCUAAUAAAUUGGGAAGUGAGAAACAAAUUCAAAGAGAUUUUAAAUGCAUUGGCAGAAGUUUGAGCUGGGCUGUUACAUGCACCAUGUUGAAACCUUAUUUAAUUAAAGGAGAAUUCUGGGUGCAUAUGUUCUUGCCAUCAAUGGCUCAUCAAGUAUGAGGAAUCACAUGGAUGCUUGGCAGGUCAUGCUUCUAAGUCCUCUCUAUCUUAUUUUUAUGAUUAUUAUUGUUUUAUAAUUCUGCCUUCCUUUGAAUUUCACAAAA